rnacentral:rRNA from 1 species
UUCCGGUUGAUCCUGCCGGAGGCUACCGCUAUUGGAGUUCGAUUAAGCCAUGCGAGUCGCGAGUCUUAGGGACUCGGCGUACCGCUCAGUAACACGUGGGUAACCUGCCCUAUGCUGGGGGAUAACCUCGGGAAACUGAGAAUAAUACCCCAUAGUUCACCACGCCUGGAACGGUGGGUGGAUCAAAGCUCCGGCGGCAUAGGAUGGGCCUGCGGCGUAUCAGGUUGUAGGGGGUGUAAUGUACCCUCUAGCCCUCUACGCGUACGGGUGUUGAGAGACAUCGCCCGGAGAUGGAUUCUGAGACACGAAUCCAGACCCUACGGGGUGCAGCAGGCGCGAAAACUUGGCAAUGCGAGAAAUCGUGACCAGGGAACUCCAAGUGCAUCGGGUAAGACCGAUGCUUUUCUUGACUCUUCAAAGGUCUUGGAAUAAGGGGUGGGUAAGGACGGUGCCAGCCGCCGCGGUAAUACCGGCGCCCCAAGUGGUAGUCGCUUUUAUUGGGCCUAAAACGUCCGUAGCCGGUCUGGUACAUUCGUGGGUAAAUCAACCAGCUCAACUGGUUGAAUUCUGCGAGCACGGCCAGACUUGGGACCGGGAGAGGUGUGGGGUACUCUCAGGGUAGGGGUAAAAUCCUGUCAUCCUGAGAGGACCACCUGUUGCGAAGGCGCCACACUAGAACGGAUCCGACGGUCAGGGACGAAGCCUAGGGGCACGAACCGGAUUAGAUACCCGGGUAGUCCUAGGUGUAAACGCUGUGGACUUGAUGUUGGGGGCGCUCCGAGCGCACUCAGUGUCGAAGCGAAGGUGAUAAGUCCACUGCCUGGGGAGUACGGUCGCAAGGCUGAAACUUAAAGGAAUUGGCGGGGGAGCACCGCAACCUGAGGAUUGUGCGGUUUAAUUGGAUUCAACGCCGGA